UCGAGGGGCAUCGGGAGGGAAGCUUGCUUUCCUUGCCGGCGACCGGCGCACGGGUGAGUAACACGUAUGCAACCUGCCCUCUUCAGGGGGACAACCUUCCGAAAGGGAGGCUAAUCCCGCGUAUAUCGGUUUCGGGCAUCCGAGAUCGAGGAAAGAUUCAUCGGAAGAGGAUGGGCAUGCGGCGCAUUAGCUUGACGGCGGGGUAACGGCCCACCGUGGCGACGAUGCGUAGGGGUUCUGAGAGGAAGGUCCCCCACACUGGUACUGAGACACGGACCAGACUCCUACGGGAGGCAGCAGUGAGGAAUAUUGGUCAAUGGGAGAGAUCCUGAACCAGCCAAGCCGCGUGAGGGAAGACGGCCCUAUGGGUUGUAAACCUCUUUUGUCGGAGAACAAAACCCGGGACGUGUCCCGGACUGCGUGUAUCCGAAGAAAAAGCAUCGGCUAACUCCGUGCCAGCAGCCGCGGUAAUACGGAGGAUGCGAGCGUUAUCCGGAUUUAUUGGGUUUAAAGGGUGCGUAGGCGGUCCGUUAAGUCAGCGGUAAAAUUGCGGGGCUCAACCCCGUCGAGCCGUUGAAACUGGCAGACUUGAGUUGGCGAGAAGUACGCGGAAUGCGCGGUGUAGCGGUGAAAUGCAUAGAUAUCGCGCAGAACUCCGAUUGCGAAGGCAGCGUACCGGCGCCAGACUGACGCUGAGGCACGAAAGCGUGGGGAUCGAACAGGAUUAGAUACCCUGGUAGUCCACGCAGUAAACGAUGAAUGCUGGUUGUCCGGGUCGAAUGAGAUCUGGGCGGCGAAGCGAAAGCGAUAAGCAUUCCACCUGGGGAGUA
rnacentral:rRNA from 1 species